UACAGGGGGUGCAAACGUUGCUCGGAAUUAUUGGGCGUAAAGCGCGCGUAGGCGGCUACCUAAGUCGGAUGUGAAAGCCCCUGGCUUAACUGGGGAAGUGCACCCGAAACUGGGUAGCUAGAGUGCAAAAGAGGGUCGCGGAAUUCCCGGUGUAGAGGUGAAAUUCGUAGAUAUCGGGAGGAACACCGGUGGCGAAGGCGGCGACCUGGGUUGACACUGACGCUGAGACGCGAAAGCGUGGGGAGCGAACAGG
rnacentral:rRNA from 1 species